ACGAACUACGGAGCUAAUGCCAACUGGUACUGCUCCUGCAAUAACUGACCCAAUGAUAUCAAGUACUGCACGCGAAUAUUAUUACAUCGUAAACCGUUAAAAAUUUCUAUACAGUGGUUAAUUCUUUAACUGUAUACCGUCUCCAGUGUAAAACUAAAUUCUGUUCAACAAUUGUUACUGAACGUUUAGAGUUCAGUGAACUUCCGUUUCGCCAACUUAUUGUUUACUGAAUUUUUCUGGCUUUAAGUUAAUAAGUUGUGAUAGUUGUGAUAAAGCAGACCAUGUUGAUCUGGUCUGUGGUCGUCACUGUGCUGAUCGCUUUUCCAUUCAGAACUUGCUGUCCUGUUACAGGUCCGCCAUGGAAGCAGCAACCUUACCGAGCAACAAUGAGUAAAUGUGACGCGGCCCACAGGAAUUCAGGAACGGGAGCUUUCGAUCACCUGGGUUUCACCAGCUGUAUGCUCUUGGAGUUGACCAACAGUCAAUCGGCGGCAUCCAGGGAAGGAGUGAACGCACUGGAUGGCGAGGCAGUGAAGCUUUCAUGUAAGCCAUUCAAGUCGUCGACGCGUAAAAUUGCAAUGGAUGUGACAUCAGAAACGCCAACGCUUCAUCCUACUUACUAUUGGCUUAAAGAUGGCCAAAUGUACGCUUAGCGGACUGAAGGGGACGAAUACAUGGCAGUCCGUUGCAAACAAGGCAACUGCAGCGUCACCGGUCGCCUCCCGGACGGAGAAUUAUGGUUUCAGAGUAUUCAGCCGAGGAGCAGCGGAUUGUACGUUUGUGCAUACUUGCAAGAUUGUUCAGGCCUUGCUGACGCCGGUGUAGCCUGGUGCAAUCUGCAUACUGGACGUUCCUUCCAGGUUAAGGUAACACAACUGAAAGAAAAGUCUGUCGAACGAUCAUGGGUCACAACUACCACCAGGACACCGUUGCCGGUACCGUACGCUACAUCCAGUGCAGCGUCUCGGACAGUUGCCGUCUUAACAAACUCUCUCAGCGCAUUCUUGCCACGAAAAUCUCAGUUGCGACCCAAGUUAGAUAGAUUCUCUGGAAUCUUCUCACAUGUGGCCCGUCAAGUCCAACAAACAGCAAACUUAUAAUCUGACAACCAGGGAAGCCAGCACAAGUGUCACAGAGAUUACGGUGACCAGCAAUCGACUCCCACCACGUCAAUGUUUUUCCCGUUGACACUGGACAGCACUGGCCACAGAUAUGCAUCAAGAACGUAAACCCAUGUUUACAACAAUUACUUUAGCUUGGGAUUUCAAUAUUUUUGCCUUGGGACUCCUUGGGAUACCUUGAAAUUCCAAUAUUUUUUGCCUUGGGACUCUUUGGGAUUCCAAUACUUUUGCUUCGGCCUUACUCUGCUUCGUGUCCUCAUUAACUGACAAUUUACUUACUUAUACGUAUUAUUAGUGAGCCAGUUCAUUUUUAACUGCGACGUUUGUUUAAGGUCCAGUGCCUGUAUUUUUCAGUUCUUAAUGUUCUUCAGUUCUUACUGUUCAUCAGUUCUGUGCUGCAGGACUAAACAUUUUUGACGGAAAUCUUUUGACCACGUCUAGUUUGGCGGGAGCAGAUAUAAAUAUUACGUCCACUUCGGAAAUGAUGCCAAGAUCGGCAGAUUACAACUUUGCGGUCGCUAUCCAACGGCACCGGCUAUUCGAUUCCGUGCUUCCACGCAUCUACUCUGUAGUCUGUAGUCUGUACCACUGAGGCACAUUACAUCGUCGGUCUGAAUAAAAAAAUCGUAUUUUGCAA